GAAAUAGCUUUAGGGCUAGCCUCAAGUGAUGAUUAUUGGAGGUAGAGCACUGUUUGGACGAGGGGCCCCUCUCGGGUUACCGAAUUCAGACAAACUCCGAAUGCCAAUUAAUUUAACUUGGGAGUCAGAACAUGGGUGAUAAGGUCCGUGUUCGAAAGGGAAACAGCCCAGACCACCAGCUAAGGUCCCAAAAUAUAUGUUAAGUGGAAAAGGAUGUGGCGUUGCCCAGACAACUAGGAUGUUGGCUUAGAAGCAGCCAUCAUUUAAAGAGUGCGUAAUAGCUCACUAGUCGAGUGACACUGCGCCGAAAAUGUACCGGGGCUAAACAUAUUACCGAAGCUGUGGAUUGUCCUUUGGACAAUGGUAGGAGAGCGUUCUAAGGGCGUUGAAGCAUGAUCGUAAGGACAUGUGGAGCGCUUAGAAGUGAGAAUGCCGGUGUGAGUAGCGAAAGACGGGUGAGAAUCCCGUCCACCGAUUGACUAAGGUUUCCAGAGGAAGGCUCGUCCGCUCUGGGUUAGUCGGGUCCUAAGCUGAGGCCGACAGGCGUAGGCGAUGGAUAACAGGUUGAUAUUCCUGUACCACCUAUA
rnacentral:rRNA from 1 species